GUCGGUUUCACUGGCGAGAGCGGCGGGCAGGAUCUCCCUCGCGCCCGAGCCCCGCCGCGGAGCCGAAUCGACACGGCAGCCCCCAGUCCCCGGGAUCGCUCCCCGGCCCCCCGGUUCUUUGUUGCGGUUGCGGACGGCUCUGCUCCGAGACUUUUUACCUUCUCGUCUCCUUCUUCUUCCCCGCCCCCCUGUCUCUCUUCCUCUCCCUCUCUCUCGCUGGAGGCGUCUGCAGCAGCGCUAGACUCGGCUUCGCCAGCGAGCGAGAGAGCGGAAAAGUGUUUCGCCUUAAAAAAAAAAAAUCUCUGAUCCAAGCUCUCUUGUACCAGCGCUAUCAAAACUUGAACUGCAAACUGGCUUCCGUCCGCCCUCCGCCUCCUCCUCCCUCUGCUCCGAGCCUCCGGAGGGUGUCCUGGGUUGCAAUCCGAGUCCUGCAGUGCUCUUCUCCCGCGCCUGUCUUCCUUGUCCUAAAACCUUCUGUCUUUCUAGCGUCUCCACUUUGGACUCUCUCCCUCAAUUGCACACGGAAUCCGGACUCAGGUUGAGGUUCAGGACGUCCAUCUGCUGCCUACCACCAGGAUCGGAGCUGCGGAAGCAAAUGCAAUUCCAUUCCAUGCCCUCCCUGCCGUGCCCACCGCCCAGACCCUUGCUUUAGGCCUCAGUUUCCCCACUCCCUUCGGGUUGGAGACAUGACUGACGACAAGGCUGGAAGCAGAGGAACUGGAGGAUUGGAUUGAUAGGGUCGGUUGGCGGCGGGGCUGCAUUGCUGGCUGUGGGGCGGAGGGGGAGGGAGUCAAGGUGAACCGCCGCCUUUGCCUCUCCACCCCUCUGCGGACUUUGACCGACGUCCACGCACACCGGAGGUGAAAGCAUCCCGCACUAGGAACAGAGCCGCCGACCGCCAUGACCCGGUCUUCCCUAAAAGGCACCCACAGCCUGAUGGGGCUCAGCGGGCAGUGUGGGAGUGCCCUGCUGUAGGUGAGGACGAGCCAGGUCCCAGCCAGCAGGUGCACGCUUGCCCAGUGGUGAGCGGGAGCACAGGGCACGUUCUUUCUAGGACUGCCUGCUCCACCGGGGAUUGGCCUUGGUGCAUGGCAGACUCCCCCACCGCCUGGGUCAGUGGUUCGUUCCCACUGUGUUCAUGCACCUCCUACUGAGCUUUGAAGGUGGCCUCUUAGAGCCUUCGAACUUCCGAUGAGUCCCAUAGUCCUUCUAAGCCUCAGCUGCCUCUUGCCACAAAGGACAGGACGGGGGUAAAUGAGAUCAGGGGUGGACAUGGCUCAGCCACACCUUGGUGCCUAGUAAAUGCUCAUUAAACAUUAGCUGUUUGGGCACCCUAAA